GGGGGCAUAGCUCAGUUGGGAGAGCAGCAGACUGAAGUAACUUACUCUUCCGGCAUCUUUCUGAAGGUCCCGCGUUCAAUCCGCGGUGCCCCCA